rnacentral:rRNA from 1 species
GACGGAGGAUGCAAGCGUUAUCCGGAAUUAUUGGGCGUAAAGCGUCCGCAGGUGGCUGUUCAAGUCUGCUGUCAUAGCGCAGAGCUUAACUCUGUACAGGCGGUGGAAACUGAAGAGCUAGAGUAUGGUAGGGGUAGAGGGAAUUCCCGGUGUAGCGGUGAAAUGCGUAGAUAUCGGGAAGAACACCAGUGGCGAAAGCGCUCUACCGGGCCAUAACUGACACUGAGGGACGAAAGCUAGGGGAGCGAAAGGG